rnacentral:lncRNA from 1 species
GGGCCUGUGUACAUGGAGGGGGGUGUGGGGGUGUGUCAGGGGGGGGCAGAGAGCUUCUCUCUGUAGUAGGGGUCUCUAUUUGGGCCUCUUUGUUGACUGGGGGUGUGGGUAGAGUGUUGUCGGUAUGGGGGGGAUUGUGGGUAAAGGUGGGUCAGUGGGGUUGUUAGGGGUGGUGAGGGGCUGCAGCUUCUCUCUGGGAGUCUCUACAGUCUGUUCUCUGUGCUGUAGCACCCUCUUGAUGACAGACAACUCCUUUGCCAUCUCCUCCUUUACCUGCACUAGCUCUCUCCUCAUGGUGGCCUUUACCUCCUCAAGCGCUGUGGUAAGGCUCUCUCUCAGCUCCUGGACAGAGUUCUUCAGCUGGGUCCUGCACUGGUUGAUCUGGUCCUGUAGAAGCUCUGUGUCUGGGCUGGUGGUGGUGUAGCUGGGGGGCUGCUCCUUCAGCUCAGUAACCCAUACCUCUAACACAGCCAGCCUGUCUCUCAACAGGCUGAUAGUAGUGUGGUCUUGGCUCUGGUGGUUGUAGGCAGGCAGGGGGGAGGAUAGUCCUGCUGUUGGGGUGCCUGAGGUGAGGGGAGAGGUCGGGGUGCUGUCCUUUUCUUUUUUGCUUUCUGCUAUCUUCCUUAGAGUGGGGAAGUCCUGCACAACAGAGCUGAGUGCAGCCUCACUGCCCUGGACCAUGAUAGUGCCGUUCUGAUACAUGUUUACCGUCAGAAACCUGUUUUCCUGGUCCUUAUCGCUGUCCUCAAAAAUGUGGAUUUGCCUUCCCUUGCAGAUGCCUUUCUUCGUGGUAUAGCUGAAAUGCCUGGUUACAGCUGUAUGCCAGGCAGUAGUGUGGUCUGUGUAAAAUAACAGACAGCCGUGACAGAAUCUCCCACCACCAACCGACCAAGCAGCGUGGUCAGGAGGACUGGACCUGGGAGGAAAUUCUGAAUGGAGCAGGACACUGGACAAGGGCCCAGGGGAGUAUCGCCGUCCAAAGGAGGAAAUUGAAGCAGCGAGAGCAGAACGGCGAUAUUACGAGGCGUUAAACCAUCAAGGCAAGCAGUCUCUCUGUCUCUCUCUCUCUCUGUCUCUGUCUCUGUCUCUCUCUGUCUCUCUCUCUCUCUCUCUCUCUCUCUCUCUCUCUCUCU